ensembl:lncRNA
AGGAUAGAUAGGUAGACUGAUAUCAGAUGGGGCCCGGAUAGAUAGGUAGACUGAUAUAAGAUGGGGCCAGGAUAGAUAGGUAGACUGAUAUAAGAUGGGGCCAGGAUAGAUAGACAGUGGCUGAUAUAAGAUGGGGCCAGGAUAGAUAGAGAGUGACUGAUAUAAGAUGGGGCCAGGAUAGAUAGAGAGUGGCUGAUAUAAGAUGGGGCCAGGAUAGAUAGAGAGUGGCUGAUAUAAGAUGGGGCCAUGAUAGAUAGGUAGGCUGAUAUAAGAUGGGGCCAGGAUAGAUAGGUAGACUGAUAUAAGAUGGGGCCAGGCUGGAUAGGUAGGCUGAUAUAAGAUGGGGCCAGGAUAGAUAGGUAGACUGAUAUAAGAUUGGGCCAGGAUAGAUAGGUAGACUGAUAUAAGAUUGGGCCAGGAUAGAUAGGUAGACUGAUAUCAGAUGGGGCCAGGAUAGAUAGAGAGUGGCUGAUAUAAGAUGGGGCCAGGAUAGAUCGGUAGACUGAUAUAAGAUGGGGCCAGGAUAGAUAGGUAGGCUGAUAUAAGAUGGGGCCAGGAUAGAUAGGAAGACUGAUAUAAGAUGGGGCCAGGAUAGAUAGGUAGACUGAUAUCAGAUGGGGC